CACCGCGGUUAUACGAGAGGCCCAAGUUGAUAAGCCCGGCGUAAAGAGUGGUUAUGGAUGAACCCCCGCACUAAAGCUAAAGACCCCUUAGGCUGUUAUACGCACCUGGGGGCUCGAACCACCUAUACGAAAGUAGCUUUAUUCUCUUCCACCAGAACCCACGACAGCUGGGGCA
rnacentral:rRNA from 1 species